UUCCGCUUUCUCUAUCUAGCUCCUAUGCCCUCUGGCGAACAUUAGUCAAAUGUACGCCCACUGUGGUUCAUGGCUCGGGGAAGAGGACGAGCUCGAAAAAGACCCAGGUUGCAACCAUUAGCUGGUAUCGGUAAACCAGUUGAAGCUCCUAUGCAACCAGAUAAAGCUCCAACAACUGAGAUUGUAAAGACUCUUGUUCCAUUGGAUGACGCAAGGAUGAAGCAACAUGAGAGUGAAAUGAUAAUACAGGGGCCUGCUAAGAGAUUCGAUCUGAGUAUUAGUCCAUCUUUAAGCGAACAAAAGGAUAGUCAAUUGUGAAAUUACAGAUCUAGCGAGUACAAGUAAAUCUACACCAGAUCUAGCACCAGUAAUUGAGAAAAAGAGGACAUCAAAUGCAUGGACUUCUCUAUUUGCAGGUAACCGUAGCUCUGAGAAUGGGUUAAAGUUAUCUUACAUUCCCCCAAAAAUUAUUGAUGGGAAAACUGUUGCUCAACUUGAGAAAGAGGAUGUUGAUAAGAAAAUACUGAAAUAAAGAUGUGCUCUAAUUGUGUAUGUAAUUGGGGAAACUCUCGCUAUAACUAUAUGCAUAGAUUUGUAAAGCAGAGUUGGAAUCAAGUUGCAAAGCCAGAGGUGUUUUACCAUGAAGAGGGCUACUAUUUAGUCAAAUUUUAGUCCAUCCAUGACAUGCACAGAGCCUUAUAUUCAGAUCCCUAUAUAGUUAACAACAAGCCUCAGACCCUGAAACCAUAUAUUAUGAAUUUUGACUUUACAAAGGAACUCACUGAGAUUCUUCUGUGAGUGGUACUACCAAAUCUUCAUAUGAGUUUCUGGGGUGGUCAAUCUCUAAGUAGAAUUGCAAGUUCAAUAGGAAGACCUUUGUAUGCUGAUGAAUGUACUUCUAAAAAAAAGAGGAUCUCAUAUGCCCGUAUGAUAAGUGAAAUCAAUGUUACUCGACCACUUCCCACUAGUGUCACUGUGUGGAAUCUGAUGGGAGACAUUUUGAUCAAUCGAUAGAGUAUGACUAGAAAUCAGAUUUUUGUGAAGUGUGUUUGAAAAUUGGCCACUCUUGCAAGCAAAUUGAGGUUGAGCAGCACAGAGUUGAACAACCUAGAAGGAUAAGAAGACCAAAUGGAAAUGCACAACCUGCCCCAAAACCAGCCCCACAACCUGUGGAAACCCAAAAGGUGAUCCAGGAAUGGAGAACAAAGAAACUUACUGAUGUUGGGGAAAAGCCUAUUGACCAAUUAGAGGCAAAUAAGCCAAUUAUAGGGAUGCAUGACCAUCAAGUUCCUGAGCAAAGACAACAACCACUAGUUAUUUGUGAACAACAGGCAAUGGUAAGGAGCAAGGAGAUUUACAAGGAGGACCAACUACCCAGAGAAGUCCUGAAUUGAGUUGUAUCAGGGAGUUUCCAACUUUAUCUACCACUGUUCAAAGAGAAAGUAAAACAAUAGUGAAAACAGGUGGGAAUGGGAAUCAAAAAUGCUUGCCUACAACAAAUAGUGGGCCUUCUAUACCAGCCCAAUGACUUGGUUAGUGUGGAAUGUUAGAGCGAUUAAUAAGAGAUAUAAGUAGAAAGAGCUAAAGUUAUACUUAAAGAACACAUACAUAAAACUAGUUGGUCUUCUGAAAACUAGAGUUAAAGAAACUAGUGUCAAUAGAGUUUUCAAAAAUAUAUUACCAGGAUGGGCACUUUAGUGUAAUUAUCAAAGUACAGUGUGUCACACCCCUAUUCUACCCCGCAAAAGAUAUAUGUUAUGUGUAUUGUGGGUUAAAGAAUUUUUUCAAUUAAAGUGAUAAUUUUGAAAAGGGAUUAUUUUAUUUACAGAGCCGCCACUUGAAAUUAAUUUUGGGUGUUCCAACUCACCUUUUGUUUGGAUCCCUAAUCAAAGGAAGAUUUGACACUUUUAUUAUAGGUCUGCAAAAAUAAAGUUCGGGGAAGAAAUUUUGUUGACCCGGGAGAAGGUGUGAGGCACUUCCCAAAUCCCGUGAUUCUAGCACAGUCGCUUGAUUGACUUAAACUUGGCCUGAAUUAAUUUUAGAUAAACUAUGCUUUAUUUUAUUUUUCAUGUUUUACCUCUGUCCGCUUUUAUUGUUGAUAAAUUUUUUACUCUCGAACUAGUAUGAGUACUCCCGACCCUAGCAUACACUAACCAAGAAGAGUAAUCCCGACCUUAAUUUGUGUAGCACACCUGAACUUAGAGCCUUCUUGGAGUUAAUUAAAGGCUAUCAUUUGGGAAAAAGUGAGUCAAUAUGUGUCUUCACGACUUUACCAUUUUAAUUAUAUCUUUAUUCCAAGAGAGUCUUCCCGAUUUCGGUUAAGAUAAAAUUAAUUAACUUUAUCAAACCUAUUACUUUCGAUGUUAAAUUAUGGGAAAAUGUGUGCUCAGCUUUAUUAUGAAAAGAUAAACCUCUUCGUAGCUUAGUGGUAGUGAAAUAAUAUAUAAAAAAAAUUUGCUGAUAUCAAGCCUACCUAAAGCUCUAUUCUUACUUUUGUUGUCAUUACAAGAACAACAACAACAACAACAACGACGACCCAGUAUAAUCCCACAAGUGGGGUCUGGGAAAGGUAAUAUGUACGUAGAUCUUACCCCUACCCCGAAGGGUAGGGAGGCUGUUUC
rnacentral:lncRNA from 1 species